GCCCAGGUGGCGGAAUUGGCAGACGCACUAGGUUCAGGUCCUAGCGGGAGUAAAAUCCCAUGGAGGUUCAAGUCCUCUCCUGGGCACCA
rnacentral:tRNA from 2 species